GUCUCUGGAGCGCAAUGGAUAGCGCGUUGGACUUCUAAUCCAAAGGUCGUGGAUUCGAAUCCCACAUGGGAUG
rnacentral:tRNA from 1 species